AAUCUCCGAUGCCCGCAUCGGCGAGUUGUAGUUGCGAGAAGCACUUUCUAGGCGGAAUCGGCCCUGCCUAAGUUGCUUGGAACGGCACGUCGCAGAGGGUGACAACCCCGUCUGUGGCAGGGCCGGCCGCCGACGAUGCGCUUUCGAAGAGUCGGGUUGUUUGGGAAUGCAGCCCAAAAUGGGUGGUAAACUCCAUCUAAAGCUAAAUAUUGGCGUGAGACCGAUAGCGAACAAGUACCGUGAGGGAAAGAUGAAAAGAACUUUGAAAAGAGAGUUAAAGAGUACGUGAAACCGUCUAGAGGGAAACGAAUGGACUCAGCAAUGCGCUCCGGCGAGAUUCAGCCGGCGGGCGACCUCGGUCCUUGGUUCGCGGAUCCGAAUGGACCGCGGCCUGGGGCUCGCGAGCUCCCGCCGUCGCACUUCUCACGGGCGCGCGUCAACGUCGGUUGGGACUGGGUGUUAAGGGUGCCGGGAAGGUAGGCGCGGAGCCCCUCGGGGAUUUCCGCUCUGUUAACGUAGCCCGGCUUCUCGCAUGACUCGGGCCCGACCGAGGCGGUUAUAGGGCAUGCCUCUUGUGGCUAGGGGCCCGUCCUUCCGGCCGGCCGUCCGAUGCGGUGGACUGCUUGCAGUGUUCGGCGAUGGCUACCGGUCGUUUGGGCGGUGUUUUUCCCG
rnacentral:rRNA from 1 species